rnacentral:rRNA from 1 species
UACGGAGGGUGCAAGCGUUGUCCGGAAUCACUGGGCGUAAAGGGCGCGUAGGCGGCCCGGUAAGUAGGGGGUGAAAUCCUGCGGCUUAACCGCAGGGCUGCCUUCUAAACUGUCGGGCUCGAGCACGGUAGAGGCAGAUGGAAUUCCCGGUGUAGCGGUGGAAUGCGUAGAGAUCGGGAAGAACAUCGGUGGCGAAGGCGGUCUGCUGGGCCGUUGCUGACGCUGAGGCGCGACAGCGUGGGGAGCAAACAGG